CCCUUAGAUGUCCGGGGCCGCACGCGCGCUACACUGAAGGAAUCAGCGUGGCUUUCUCCCUGACCCGAAAGGGUUGGGAAACCCGUUGAAUCUCCUUCGUGAUAGGGAUUGGGGCUUGAAAUUGUUCCCCAUGAACGAGGAAUUCCCAGUAAGCGCGAGUCAUAAGCUCGCGUUGAUUACGUCCCUGCCCUUUGUACACACCGCCCGGCGCUACUACCGAUUGAACGGUUUAGUGAGGGCCUCGGAUUGGUCUCGGCCCGCUCUUUACCGGGCGGCGCCGUUGGUCGAGAAGACGCUCGAACUUGAUCGUUUAGAGGAAGUAAAAGUCGUAACA
rnacentral:rRNA from 1 species